CCCUUCUCAGGGUCACACCUGGGGAGCUUCCAGUACUCUACCAGUCUCGACUAGGGGAAGGAGAGUCAAGCAGAGGCAUAUCCAUUCCAUUCCUAACUUGGGCAGUGUCUAGAGAGUGGAAGGCAAUCUGCUACAAGU
rnacentral:snoRNA from 1 species